CGAGUCCCUGGGUUGCUUCCUGGGGUCUGUGGUGCUGGGUGUGCUAUCUGCGUGUGAUUCUCUAGCGAGAGAUUGUGGGCGAGUGACCGAGUGGGCAAGGGGCCGUCACUGUGUGUGCGUGAUUUUGACAGUGUGUGGUGGUAGCUUCUGACUCCGCGUGGGUCGUUGAAUGUAUGACUGGGACCGUUUAGCGGUGGAUACACAACUGUGUGCGGCUGUGGAAGAUUGCCUCAUCCGUUACGUUCCCAUUUCCGUGGAACAACAGUUUUACCAGAAGGUUUCGAAGGAACCUUAAAGUUUGGAAGCGUAAGAGUUUAUCUGGCGGCUUUGGUGUCAUCAAAUGUGAGAAGCCCUGGACUUUACACAUCCCGAGCCAGUGUGAUCCAGUAUGAUUGGGAGUCCGAGUGCCAGAUGCCGGUCAGGACCUGUUAUGCUGGGUCUCAGAAUGCGGAAACUCUCCCUGUCCGAGGUGGAACAGUUUGUCCUUGAGUGAGGACUGGAGUCCUGAGUGACUCUUUUGAUUUGAUCCUGUUUCCCUCAAACCUGAGAUGGGAGCCUCACUGUAUUGCCCAGGCUGGUCUUGAACUCCGGAGCUCAAGUGAUCGUCUUGCUUCAGCCUUGCAAAAUGAUGGUGAAGCUGCAUCAUUGUCUGGGGUAAAUACCUGAGGUUCGUUGUCUCACGCCAAGGGAAUCAAGGACGUGGACACACAAGAAAUGGAGUCCCUGUCUGACCGGGCCAUGUUGUAUGUUCCUUGCUGUACACGUGGUUGACAAAGAAAAGGGAAGAUGGAGCUGCGAUGUUGGACAUGCCUGGCCCCCAGGUAGCUUUUUCCUAUUGGCACAGCUGCUGGCAUUCACCCGUGCAAACUUCCAGCUUGCUUAUCUAUGUCUGCAGCUUGAUUUUUCAGGCUGCUGUUUGUUAGAAAAGAAAUGACUUGGGGGCUGCUUUUCAUUAAAAGGAAAACCUUACCGGGGAUUUCCUUACCCUCACUAUCUGCCUAAAUAAUUUCUUUUUAACUCCUAUGUCACUUGGGAUUACAGGCAUGAGCCGCUGUGCCUGCUAGAGGGUUUUUUAUCUUUAUUCCUCAAGAUUUUGCAUUUAGAUAAUUAUGUUAAACUUGGGUGUGCUAGGUAGACAUACGUCUGCUGAUUACCUGUUUAGGAAGAAUGUGGAUUCGUACGUAGGGAAAAGGAGUCAGGCUGGUGGGACCAGGGGAAAGCAAAGAGAUAAAGCAAAUAAGCUAUAGAUCUGCAUUUUCUUCAUGGUCCAGGAUAUAUAAACAAAAAAAGGAAGCAGAUAAGCUAUAGGCUUGCUUUUCUUUAUGACCCAGGACAUACAGCCCUGCCGAGCAAAUAAUGAACGUAACUCACAAACUUCCUGCUUAUCAUCAAACGCACGCAUCCACUUAUCAUCAAACACCUCGGGUGACAGAAGAAUGCAGGUCAGCUCCCUGCUGCCUUGGCAUUAUCAAUCAGCCCAGGAACCAUCCUAUAAAAUCUCCAGCAAGCCUUUGUUUCCUUGCAGUCAGCUCCUCUUCCACUGAUUCUGCCUGUUGCUCCCUGAUAACAUACUUUGAUACUGUCUUUAAUAAAUCUGCCUUUCUUC
rnacentral:lncRNA from 10 species